AGAAAGCAAAAUCACAUCAAAUGUUUGAGUAAAUGCUUUAAAAGUAUUGUAGUAGGCCAACUUUCCCGAGCCCAAAAUCACAAAGAAAUAAAAACCAAAAAAUAAUUAAAUGUCCCAAAAUGUCCAGUUACAAACCAAAAAUUAAAAACCCAAAAUUAAGCCUAGCCCAGACCUAACCAUUAGCCCAAAUACCCGCAGCCCAAAACAAAAAUAGAAACCCUAGGCAGCAAACUAACAGCCCCGCCGCUCUCUAUGCACACAGAAGCCCGACUCCUCCUCCCACGAGCCAUUCGCCACGCACGUAGCGCCAUCACGAGCCUCCAGCUGGCCUCGUACGGCCUCCCACCCGUAUACCUGCAAGAAGGACAUAGCAAACGCAAC
rnacentral:lncRNA from 1 species